AUGGAAUGCACGGCGCUGGCUUCAGCAGCGGCUCCAGCAGCCAUCCGCCGGUGGACAGCAGACAGGCGGACUCUCUGGCCAGCAGGGGCUACAGCGCG
rnacentral:SRP_RNA from 15 species